UAGGGAAUCUUCCACAAUGGACGCAAGUCUGAUGGAGCAACGCCGCGUGAGUGAAGAAGGCUUUCGGGUCGUAAAACUCUGUUAUUGAAGAAGAACGUGUGUGACAGUAACUGGUCAUGCAGUGACGGUAUUCAAUCAGAAAGUCACGGCUAACUACGUGCCAGCAGCCGCGGUAAUACGUAGGUGGCAAGCGUUGUCCGGAUUUAUUGGGCGUAAAGCGAGUGCAGGCGGUCUUUUAAGUCUGAUGUGAAAGCCUUCGGCUUAACC
rnacentral:rRNA from 1 species